rnacentral:rRNA from 1 species
GUGAGGAAUAUUGCACAAUGGGCGAAAGCCUGAUGCAGCAACGCCGCGUGGGUGAUGAAGGCUUUCGGGUCGUAAAACCCUUUUCAGGGGAAAGAGAGAGGACGGUACCCUUGGAAUAAGGUUCGGCUAACUACGUGCCAGCAGCCGCGGUAAAACGUAGGAACCGAGCGUUAUCCGGAUUUACUGGGCGUAAAGCGCCUGCAGGCGGUUCCGUAAGUUGGGUGUGAAAUCUUUUGGCUUAACUGAGAGGUGUCAUUCAAUACUGCGAAACUAGAGGGCAGAAGAGGGAAGCGGAAUUCCCGGUGUAGUGGUGAAAUGCGUAGAUAUCGGGAGGAACACCAGUGGCGAAGGCGGCUUCCUGGUCUGCUCCUGACGCUAAGAGGCGAAAGCUAGGGGAGCGAACGGGAUUAGAAACCCCAGUAGUCC